GACGAACGCUGGCGGCGUGCUUAACACAUGCAAGUCGAACGGAAAGGCCCUGCGCUUGUGGGGUUCUCGAUUGCCGAACGGGUGAGUAACACGUGAGUAACCUGCCCUUGACUUUCGGAUAACUUCACGAAACUGGGGCUAAUACCGGAUAGGAUCUCCUGCUGCAUGGUGGGCGUUGGAAAGUUUCGGCGGUUGGGGCUGGACUCGCGGCUUAUCAGCUUGUUGGUGGGGUAGUUGCUUACCAAGGCUUUGACGGGUAGCCGGCCUGAGAGGGUGACCGGCGACAUUGGGACUGAGGUACGGCCCAGACGCGAACGGGAGGCAGCGGGGGGAAAUAUGGCACAAUGGGGGGAAGCCUGAGACAGAAACGCCGCGUGCGGGAUGACGGCUUUCGGGGGAAAAACCGCUGUCGCCUGAGACGAAGCGGGAGUGACGGUAAUGGGUAAAGAAGCACCGGCUAACUACGUG
rnacentral:rRNA from 1 species